rnacentral:tRNA from 1 species
GAGACUUUAGCUCAGUGGUAGAGCAUCUCACUUUUAAUGAGAGGGUCGAUGGUUCAAAUCCAUCAAGUCUCA